rnacentral:rRNA from 1 species
UGGGGAAUAUUGCACAAUGGGCGAAAGCCUGAUGCAGCGACGCCGCGUGAGUGAAGAAGGCCUUCGGGUCGUAAAACUCUGUCCUUGGUGAAGAAAGAAAUGACGGUAGCCAAGGAGGAAGCCCCGGCUAACUACGUGCCAGCAGCCGCGGUAAUACGUAGGGGGCGAGCGUUGUCCGGAUUUACUGGGCGUAAAGGGUGAGUAGGCGGUGAUAUGUGUCAGAUGUAAAAGGCUAUGGCUUAACUAUAGUUAGCAUUUGAAACUGUAUUACUUGAGUGCAGGAGAGGUAAGUGGAAUUCCUAGUGUAGCGGUGAAAUGCGUAGAUAUUAGGAGGAACACCAGUGGCGAAGGCGACUUACUGGACUGUAACUGACGCUGAGUCACGAAAGCGUGGGGAUCAAACA